rnacentral:rRNA from 1 species
CCUACGGGUGGCAGCAGUGAGGGAUAUUGGUCAAUGGGGGAAACCCUGAACCAGCAACGCCGCGUGAGGGAAGACGGCUUUCGGAUUGUAAACCUCUGUCCUCAGUGAAGAAAAUGACGGUAGCAGAGGAGGAAGCUCCGGCUAACUACGUGCCAGAAGCCGCGGUAAUACGUAGGGAGCAAGCGUUAUCCGGAUUUACUGGGUGUAAAGGGUGCGUAGGCGGUUUGGCAAGUCAGGAGUGAAAGUCGGGGGUUAAAACCAAGAACUGCUGUGGAAACUGGAGAAAUUGAGUGGAGUAGAGGGGGGUGGAAUGCGGGGUGUAGCGGUGAAAUGAGGAGAUAGCAGGAAGAACACCGAUGGCGAAGGCAGCUCACGGGACUGCAACUGACACGGAGGCUCGAAAGUGUGGGGAGCAAACAGGAUUAGAGACCCCAGUAGUC